UACGUAGGGGGCGAGCGUUGUCCGGAUUUCUUGGGCGUAAAGAGCGCGUAGGCGUCCACCCAAGUCGAUCGUGAAAGCUCGGGGCUCAACCCCGAGAUUGCGGUCGAUACUGUGUGGCUAGAGGCUGGUAGGGGGGUGUGGAAUUCCCGGUGUAGCGGUGGAAUGCGCAGAUAUCAGGAGGAACACCGAUGGCGAAGGCAGGUCUCUGGGCCACUACUGACGCUGAGAAGCGAAAGCAUGGGGAGCGAACAGG
rnacentral:rRNA from 1 species